GUGGGGAAUUUUGGACAAUGGGCGCAAGCCUGAUCCAGCAAUGCCGCGUGUGUGAAGAAGGCCUUCGGGUUGUAAAGCACUUUUGGCAGGAAAGAAAUAGCGCGUGCUAAUACCAUGCGCGAAUGACGGUACCUGCAGAAUAAGCACCGGCUAACUACGUACCAGCAGCCGCGGUAAGACGUAGGGUGCAAGCGUUAAUCGGAAUUACUGGGCGUAAAGCGUGCGCAGGCGGUUUUGUAAGACAGGUGUGAAAUCCCCGGGCUCAACCUGGGAACUGCACUUGUGACUGCAAGGCUAGAGUGUGUCAGAGGGAGGUGGAAUUCCGCGUGUAGCAGUGAAUUGCGUAGAGAUGCGGAGGAACACCGAUGGCGAAGGCAGCCUCCUGGGAUAACACUGACGCUCAGGCACGAAAGCGUGGGGAGCAAACAGGAUUAGAAACCCCGGUAGUCC
rnacentral:rRNA from 1 species